GAACGCGUGUAGCAAUACACGAGUGGCGCACGGGUGAGUAACGCGUGGGAACCUGCCCAGUGGUAGGGAAUAACUGCGGGAAACUGCAGCUAAUACCCUAUACGCCCUACGGGGGAAAGUUUUUCGCCAUUGGAGGGGCCCGCGUCGGAUUAGCUAGUUGGUGAGGUAAGAGCUUACCAAGGCGACGAUCCGUAGCUGGUCUGAGAGGAUGAUCAGCCACACUGGGACUGAGACACGGCCCAGACUCCUACGGGAGGCAGCAGUGGGGAAUAUUGGACAAUGGGGGAAACCCUGAUCCAGCAAUGCCGCGUGAGUGAUGAAGGCCUUAGGGUUGUAAAGCUCUUUCA
rnacentral:rRNA from 1 species